GACAGAGGGUGCAAACGUUGUUCGGAAUUACUGGGCGUAAAGCGUGUGUAGGCGGCUAUGCAAGUCGGAUGUGAAAGCCCCGGGCUCAACCCGGGAAGUGCACCCGAUACUGCAUAGCUUGAGUAUCGGAGAGGUUGGUGGAAUUCUCGGUGUAGAGGUGAAAUUCGUAGAUAUCGAGAGGAACACCGGUGGCGAAGGCGGCCAACUGGACGAAUACUGA
rnacentral:rRNA from 1 species